rnacentral:rRNA from 1 species
AGAGUUUGAUCCUGGCUCAGAACGAACGCUGGCGGCGUGGAUAAGACAUGCAAGUCGAACGCCGAUCACUGGGUAGCAAUAUUUGGUGGUUGGAGUGGCGCAAGGGUGCUUAACACGUGGGCAAUUUGCCGUGAAGUUUGGGAUAACCCCGAGAAAUCGGGGCUAAUACCGCAUGUGACCUUUGGUGGGCAUCCACUGGAGUUCAAAGCUGGGGACCGCAAGGCCUGGCGCUUUACGAUAAGCCCGCGGCCUAUCAGCUAGUUGGCGGGGUAACGGCCCACCAAGGCUAGGACGGGUAGCUGGUCUGAGAGGACGACCAGCCACACUGGAACUGAGACACGGUCCAGACACCUACGGGUGGCAGCAGUCGAGAAUUUUUCUCAAUGGGGGAAACCCUGAAGGAGCGACGCCGCGUGGGGGAUGAAUGGCUUCGGCCCGUAAACCCCUGUCAUUCGGGACCAAAUGUUGUUCAUGAACAAUGGGCAGCUUGAUUGUACCGGAAGAGGAAGGGACGGCUAACUCUGUGCCAGCAGCCGCGGUAAUACAGAGGUCCCAAGCGUUGUUCGGAUUUACUGGGCGUAAAGGGUGCGUAGGCGGUGGGGUAAGUUUGAGGUGAAAGCUCCGGGCUCAACCCGGAAACUGCCUUGAAUACUAUCCUGCUAGAGGGUUGGAGGGGAGACUGGAAUUCUCGGUGUAGCAGUGAAAUGCGUAGAUCUCGAGAGGAACACCAGUGGCGAAGGCGAGUCUCUGGACAACACCUGACGCUGAGGCACGAAAGCCAGGGGAGCAAACGGGAUUAG